rnacentral:rRNA from 1 species
AGUAACGGCGAGUGAAGCGGCAAUAGCUCAACAUGAAAAUCUUCAAUCCAAGCGGGUUGACGAAUUGUAUGCUAGAGACGUGUGAUCAGCGAGUGUCCUAGACCUAAGUCCAUUGGAAGAUGGCAUCAUAGAGGGUGAGAAUCCCGUCUAUUGGUUUAGUGUUUAUACCGCGUACGAUUCAUGUUCGACGAGUCGAGUUGUUUGGGAC